rnacentral:rRNA from 1 species
CGGCGUGGUUAGACAUGCAAGUCGAACGAGAAGCUUAUUCNGGGGAGUGGAGAGUGGCGCACGGGUGAGUAACACGUGAGCAACCUGCCGGGAAGCCCGGGAUAGCCCUCCGAAAGGAGGAUUAAUACCGGAUGUGGCCACCCUGCGAUUGCAGGGGAAGCUAAAGGAUUAUUCACUUCCCGAGGGGCUCGCGGCCCAUCAGCUUGUUGGUGAGGGUAACGGCCCACCAAGGCGACAACGGGUAGCUGGUCUGAGAGGAUGGUCAGCCACACUGGAACUGAGACACGGUCCAGACACCUACGGGUGGCAGCAGUCGAGAAUCAUUCGCAAUGGGGGAAACCCUGACGAUGCGACGCCGCGUGGAGGAUGAAGGCCUUAGGGUUGUAAACUCCUGUCAAGAGGGAAUAAGCAAGUGAAGGUACCUCUAGAGGAAGGGGCGGCUAAUUCCGUGCCAGCAGCCGCGGUAACACGGAAGCCCCGAGCGUUGUUCGGAUUCAUUGGGCGUAAAGGGUGCGUAGGCGGCGCGGAAAGUCCGGCGUGAAAGGCAGGGGCUCAACCUCUGGACUGCGUUGGAUACUUCCGUGCUUGAGGACUGGAGGGGAGACUGGAAUUCACGGUGUAGCAGUGAAAUGCGUAGAUAUCGUGAGGAAGACCGGUGGCGAAGGCGAGUCUCUGGACAGAUCCUGACGCUGAGGCACGAAGGCUGGGGGAGCGAACAGGAUUAGAUACCCUGGUAGUCCCAGCAGUAAGCGAUGUGAGCUUGAUGUGGGGGGAUUCGACCCCUUCCGUGUCGAAGCUAACGCGAUAAGCUCACCG